CUGGCUUUCCAGAUCCAUUCGUGUAACUGAUUUGCUUCUCUCCCAACAAAGCUUCCUGGCUUAUUUCUUUGGUAAACGGCGAGGCCACGGGCAGGUGAUUCUGAAAGCAGUGAACUCUAAUGUUCCUCCAUGAAUGGAUCUUAGCUAAUGCCUUCAUUGACAUUGGUAGUACUGAAGAGAAGGAGGAUGGCAUAUCUCGGUUUGUGUACACCACCUGGGUUCAUGUGCAC